rnacentral:rRNA from 1 species
UGGGGAAUUUUGGACAAUGGGCGAAAGCCUGAUCCAGCAAUGCCGCGUGUGUGAAGAAGGCCUUCGGGUUGUAAAGCACUUUUGUCCGGAAAGAAAUCCUUGGCUCUAAUACAGUCGGGGGAUGACGGUACCGGAAGAAUAAGCACCGGCUAACUACGUGCCAGCAGCCGCGGUAAUACGUAGGGUGCAAGCGUUAAUCGGAAUUACUGGGCGUAAAGCGUGCGCAGGCGGUUUGCUAAGACCGAUGUGAAAUCCCCGGGCUCAACCUGGGAACUGCAUUGGUGACUGGCAGGCUAGAGUAUGGCAGAGGGGGGUAGAAUUCCACGUGUAGCAGUGAAAUGCGUAGAGAUGUGGAGGAAUACCGAUGGCGAAGGCAGCCCCCUGGGCCAAUACUGACGCUCAUGCACGAAAGCGUGGGGAGCAAACAGGAUUAGAUACCCUGGUAGUCCACGCCCUAAAACGAUGUCAACUAGUUGUUGGGGAUUCAUUUUCCUUAGUAACGUAGCUAACGCGUGAAGUUGACCGCCUGGGGGAGUACGGUCGCAAGAUUAAAACUCAAAUGAAUUGACGGGGUCAUAGCUGUUUCCU